CAGUAGCCGCGGUAAUACGAAGGGUGCAAGCGUUACUCGGAAUUACUGGGCGUAAAGCGUGCGUAGGUGGUGGUUUAAGUCCGUUGUGAAAGCCCUGGGCUCAACCUGGGAAUUGCAGUGGAUACUGGGUCACUAGAGUGUGGUAGAGGAUAGUGGAAUUUCCGGUGUAGCAGUGAAAUGCGUAAAGAUCGGAAGGAACAUCUGUGGCGAAGGCGACUAUCUGGGCCAACACUGACACUGAGGCACGAAAGCGUGGGGAGCAAACAGGAUUAGAUACCCCUGUAGUCCCUGUCUCUUAUAC
rnacentral:rRNA from 1 species